GGACCCGCACAAGUAGUGGAGCAUGUGGUUUAAUUCGAAGAUACGCGCAGAACCUUACCAACACUUGACAUGUUCGUCGCGACUCUAAGAGAUUAGAGUUUUCGGUUCGGCCGGACGAAACACAGGUGCUGCAUGGCUGUCGUCAGCUCGUGUCGUGAGAUGUUGGGUUAAGUCCCGCAACGAGCGCAACCCUCACUUUUAGUUGCCAUCAUUUAGUUGGGCACUCUGAAAGAACUGCCAGUGAUAAGCUGGAGGAAGGUGGGGAUGACGUCAAGUCCUCAUGGCCCUUACGUGUUGGGCUACACACGUGCUACAAUGGUAUCUACAACAGGAAGCAAAACCGCGAGGUUAAGCAAAUCCUUAAAAGAUGCCUCAGUUCGGAUUGCACUCUGCAACUCGAGUGCAUG
rnacentral:rRNA from 1 species